rnacentral:piRNA from 1 species
UAGGCGAGCCUGCACUUUCUUGAUUGAUGU